UACGGAAGGGGCUAGCGCUGUUCGGAAUUACUGGGCGUAAAGAGCGCGUAGGCGGCUUACCAAGUUGGGGGUGAAAUCCCGGAGCUCAACUCCGGAACUGCCUUCAAAACUGGUAGGCUCGAGUCCGGAAGAGGGGCGUGGAAUUCCAAGUGUAGAGGUGAAAUUCGUAGAUAUUGGGAAGAACACCGGUGGCGAAGGCGGCGCCCUGGUCCGGUACUGACGCUGAGGCGAGAAAGCGUGGGGAGCAAACAGG
rnacentral:rRNA from 1 species